AACAUCCUUUUCUUAGGGUUGUGCUACUGUCCAAUGAGCGCAUAGUGAGGGCAGUUCCGCUAACACCUACACAACACGCUUGCAUCAACUAGAACUUUGCUUUAUACUGGUGUAAUUUCUGGAAAA
ensembl:snRNA